GCUGUACAGCACAUCUCAAUAAAUGCUUGUGACAAGUUUUAUCACAUUUAUUUUGUCAUUAACUAUGUAAUCUAAUGCUUGGCCUCCUGUGUAUCUGUCUCAAAAUCUUGAGGUGAUUUUGCAUUGGUCGUCAAUUAUCCACGGAUUUUCACUAUCCCCACAAACAGCAGGGCAACGAUAUAUUGUAAUUUGACAGUGACAAAGACAUUAGUGGAAUGUAGAGAGUGCAGAGACUGGCGUAUAACAUUGAAAGAGAAAGCAGACAUAACGCAGAAUGUAGUGAGCCUGAAAAAUAAUAUCACACAUCCACGUUUUAUAUAUAAAUAAAUAUA